UACGAAGGGGGCGAGCGUUAUUCGGAAUCACUGGGCGUAAAGCGUGCGUAGGCGGUCUCGCAAGUUGGAAGUGAAAUCCCAGGGCUCAACCCUGGAACUGCUUUCAAAACUGCAAGACUCGAAUUCGGGAGAGGAUAGCGGAAUUUCCAGUGUAGUAGUGAAAUACGUAGAUAUUGGAAGGAACACCAGUGGCGUAGGCGGCUAUCUGGCCCGACAUUGACGCUGAGGCACGAAAGCGUGGGGAUCAAAC
rnacentral:rRNA from 1 species